rnacentral:lncRNA from 1 species
CCUUAGCAUUUUUCUCUUUUGAUUCACCUUUAUAGAUCAUGGAGGUAUUCAAACAGCCAGUGACAGAUGUCCUGUUUGCCUGCUAUCCUCUCAUUUUAUUUAGAGGCAGUCAGCAUUUCCACUUCCUUUGACGCUGGCGGCUGCAAUUAAACUCACAAGAUGGAGUAAUUCUAGUGGCACAACCUUUGAGAAGAGUCGUUAUUGGAACAGUUCUGUGAGUGGAUGCCAGAGCUGCCUGCUAUUUUGAAAUACAGAUAAACAAGCAAGCAACUGGAUAUUUAUGGAAACCGGGAGCCUGCAUAAAGGAGGAGCUAGAGCCAAAAUAUUUCUACUGUUUGGACACCAUCUGGCAGACUGACAGGAAUACCCCCAUUAUCUGUAUCUGUGGUGUCCUGCAAUGGAAAUCAAGUAGCAGGUGGGGAAUACUUGGUUGCUAUUAUUAGCUCUAUAGCCCUGCUAAGCCAGUAGGUUCCCAUGCCUGUACCACUUCCAGCAAUUACACCUUCAAAAUGAUAAUCAGAGCCAAGACGUAUGAAAUUGCUGCUGUCACUACCUUGAGCCUUUUUUCAGCAGAAAAGGUCAAAUAACAUGACACUUAUGUCCUACUAAAAUUAGAACAAAACA